ACACUGAAAGGAGGUGAUCCCGGAAAUGUAUGAACUCCGGACGCGUGAGGUGGCUGCGGGCUGACGCCCGUCGUCCACGCAGCAGUGCGUAGCCGACUCAGUGUCGGCCAAUCCCAAGCAGUCACCCGACCCGCGAGCUCGCCGGUACGUCCGGCCGGCUUCUCUCACUGCAGGAGAGAAACCCGAGCUCGCGGGUCGUCUGCG
rnacentral:sRNA from 1 species